CAGGCCAUGGUGACUGAGUGUUC
rnacentral:siRNA from 1 species